GCCUUCUGACUGAAUUUACUGGUCACUGCUAAUAUAGUAGAUCACAAACUGCUGCUCUGGGUGACUGGAAUCUCCAUCAGGUCUUCCAGGUGAUUCUUCAGACACUGGCUACAGGGAAGGAAGGCGGCCCAUCACUAGCCUUCAGUAGCCCCAGUGCUAAGGUGUCAGCAAAUCCCUGCUUCUGCCAUCUGAGAGGAGAGCCCACUUUGAAAACUCCUCAGGGAAUGGAGGUCACUCAGCGUGUCACAUUCACGCUCCUAGGGAAGGCAUGGAAAUGAUUCUCUUGUUCACUGCUGAAGCCUGGUAGUUACAAUUGUCUCACUUAACAGUGGUGGACUCCAUUCGAAUCUUAACAGCAGUCAGACCAGCAUCUCAAGUGCCAUACAUAAUCAGAACCAAAUGUCACUGGGCUGAGAGGAAAGAGAGGUGACAGCAGCUGGAAGCAAAUGUAGAAGUACUCCUUGAUAUAUUCCUCAAGUGUGAAGGAGGAGACACCAAGCACAUGCCUUGUAAGAUAUCUUUUCUAAUGCUGAGGAAGAGUCUCUGAGAAGUGGAAAUUGGAUGCCAUUUAUUGGGCUGGGCAAAGCAGGGCACAAAGAGCAGAGGACCAGGGCCAAAGGACCAUAGUAUACAUAAAGAUGGUGGGCUAUGGGCACUCACUACAGAGAGGAUGAGGCAGGAGGCAGAGUCCCCUUGUGUCUGUGGAUUCUUUAAAUAUAGGUAUCCUGGCCAUAGGAGCCUUUACUAGGUCUGUGGACAGCAGAAAAGAGUCUGGAGACUGUUACUUCAAAUGUAUUUCCCUUACAGUGAUAUUAAGUAGCCAGGAAGGAGGAAGUAAAGAGACUUGGCAGUUUUCAGUUACAAGUCAUCCAGUAGAGGCAAGGCAUGGCAGCAAACACCCUUAAUUCUAGCACUCUGGAGUGAGAUUAAGACCCACCUGGUCUUUAUAGACCAGGCUAGCUGAGGCUACACAGGGAGACCUUGUCUCAAAAAAACAAAACAAAACAAAAAGCAUCCAGUG
rnacentral:lncRNA from 1 species